UCUACAGUCUCACAACACAGAGAAAAUAAAUCCUGAUGAUGUUAAACUCUGAAAAAACUCUGACAAUUUCACUUUUGCUAUGGGAACAUGAUGGCCUAUUUUCUGUUUUCUCCAGAAGCUUGUUGGAAUUUACCUUGGAAAUCGUGUGAGAGCUUCAGAGAGCCAGGUUUUCUUGGCAACACCAGGCGGUAGUCAUUUCUGAACAAACAAGAUUGAAAUUUAUGUCUCAGUGAAGCAAUACUGGAAGCCUGUUUGACGUGCUGCACAAAGACCAUUUCCAGUGCUCUCCAGCCAGAUGAAUUUCCUCCAUGUGCUGCAGCAUUGUUGCAACACCCUUUUCUCCCCUUUGGCUUCAUGGGGACUGGGCUGCUGUGCCAGAGCUGACCGCUGUCACCGCUUUACCUUUCGAGACCUUGUGCCGCACCCCCACAUUAAAAGUGCUGAGACCUGACUGUCACUUGUUCAAUGCAUUUCCAGAUGAAGUACCUCUAUGUUCUCACUUCUGCUUCUUUCAUGUUUUGGAGAGGCUCCUUAGAAGCACCCCAAAAUAAAUCUAACUUUCUUCUUUCACUUGCACAAAAAGUCAACAGCAAUAGGUUUCUGGUUUCCUGAGAUUACUUCUGUUUAUAGUUAUCAAUACUUGUUCAGUGUUUGCUUGCUAUUUUCAGUCUUGUUUAGAUUGUAAAUAAUUUAGAUCAGAGACCUGUCUUUUUAUUACAAUUACUGAAAAACUAGGAUGAUUAAAUCUUGGCUUGUACUUAAGGAUCCUAGAGAAUCCGAAGCUAUUGAUAACAAAACAAUUCAGCAGAGUGAAAUUUAUCUUCCUGUAUAGGGUGUUUGCUACAGUCAGUGUGAAUCCCUAAAAAAAUUAGUAUUUUCCAAUGAAACAUAUACUGCUGACUUCAGGUUGUCUGCUAAUCUUUGUAAUUGGCAUGAAAUCUAGGGUGGCUGGGAGUCAAAACCCUGUCUUUUUGGCUUUGUGUGUGUUCUGCUGAUUACCUGCCUAAUGAAGUAAGUAGGCAGGGCAAUCUCGUUGUGUCAUCCUGCAACCAUGUCAAGUUAUUCACUAAACCUCUCUUUGGGAAAGUGGGUUGGAAACACUUAGGUGAAGAUUUUCUUUUCAGUACAAAUUUGCUGCUUUGUGGAAACCUAAGGAUGUUAUAGGAGAUCGGUAUCAAUGAAUUUACUAGCUUUAAAAUAAUGUGGAGAAAAAUAAGCAAAAAAUCUGUGAUUGUUCUAGCUGUUUCUAGAAUGAAAGACUCCAGGCUUUCCUCUUGAAAGUGGCACUAGUUGCACUAGGGCAAUUAAAGAGAAUAUGCUGUUUACA